CGUCGUUCUUCCGCCACGCGACCGGCGCACGGGUGAGUAACACGUAUGCAACCUGCCCCUGUCAGGGGGACAACCCGCCGAAAGGCGGGCUAAACCCGCGUAUAUGCCACCGGGGCAUCCCGGAGGCAGGAAAGGCUUCGGCCGGACAGGGAUGGGCAUGCGGCGCAUUAGGCAGUAGGCGGGGUAACGGCCCACCUAACCGACGAUGCGUAGGGGUUCUGAGAGGAAGGUCCCCCACACUGGUACUGAGACACGGACCAGACUCCUACGGAAGGCAGCAG
rnacentral:rRNA from 1 species